UUCUUGUCUUCAGACCCUUCAGUAUUGAGCUCUAAAUUGACCUCUUCAAUCUAGGGAUGUCAUUGCACUGUAGGACAACAUUCUCUAUCAUUUUCAGUGCAUUAGCUCCCUUUUCUCAUACCCAGUAUUCACCUGUCCCUAUUCUAUUAAGAAAUGCCUUUAAGCCUUAAGCUUGCUCUGUACAUUCCAAGCUCAUGGCCCAAAGGAAAAAAAAUCAAGACUUCACUGUAGGUGCCAGCCUAGUUAAUUUCAAGCACUAAGAACCACAUAUAGGGCUUGUACUGCGUGGCUUUGUGGGUCAACUUGAUAUAAACUAGAAUCAUCAGAAAGGAAGGAACCACAGUUGAGGAAAUGCCUCCAUGAGAUCCAGCUCUAAGGCAUUUUCUCAAUUAGUGACCAAUGGGGGAGGACACACCCCAUGGUGGGUGUACCAUCCCUAGGUCCUGGGUUCUAUAAGAAAACAAGUUGAGCAAGCCAGGAGAAGCCAAUAAGCAACACCUCUUCAUGGACUCUGCAUCAACUCUUGCCUGUGGAUCCUGCCCUUUUUGAGUUCCUAUCCUGACUUCCUUCAGUGAUGAACAGCAAUGAGGGAGAGUGAACCAAAUAAACAUUUUCCUCACCCCCCUGCUUUUUUGUCAUGGUGUUUUGCUGCAGCCAUAGAAACCCUCGCUAAGACACGUUGGUGCCAGCACAAUGGUGCAUCACUCUGACAGAUCUGAUGAUUUGGGGAGGUUUCUGGAAAGACUCUGCAACUUUGGGCUAGAAAAGCCAUUGCAUUGAGUGUUAAGAGCUCGGUGGGACUUUCUGUGAGAACCUGGAAGGUAAGAAUGUUGAGAUCACUACGGAGCAUGGAGGCCAGCGUGGGGAGUCCCAGAGGGAGGUUUAAAGGCUGUCAGGGCCAUUUGUUAUUUUGAAUUAAGAUUCUGUGGUUCUGGUUAGCUGGGGCUGAAAAAUCAGCUGUGAUUAAAAGAUAGCAGAACCACUAAAGUGAAAUCUCUUUGUUACUAGGACAAUUGAUACUGUUAGCUGAACUGAUUAAGAAGAGACCAGCACCCCUGGUAAAAUCUAAUGGGAAGUUUUUUCUGACAGCAGAGAAAAGCUGUGUUCCAGAGACAGCCAUGGCUGUACCUUGUGUUGGCAGCAGGACCUGGUAAUGUGUAAGCAUCACCAAGGCGGUAUUAGUUUUGCAGCCGUGAAGGGAUAAUAGAGACUAAUUGUGACUUGGCAUUGUGACAAGAAUAGGCCAUUGGUGAAGGUGCAGCUUCAGUAGCAUUUGAAGGCCCAGAAUUGAAGGGGUCAUGAAAAGAAAUUGAGGCUCGGCAUCAUGAAGAGAGCCAGUGAGAGAUCAUCGGUGAAAGUGCAGCCCAGUGGCAGCAAGGGACCCCAGCAUUUUGGAGAUGAGUACCAUGAGAAGAUCACCAAGAACAGUAGCUGCAGAGGGGUGGAGUCAGCCAGAGUGUGGAAGAUGAACUGUGUGUACUGCGAAGGGCAGAACCGGAUAAGGAACCCAAACCCUUUGGAGGAGUCCAGAAGAUUAUUACAACCCCCAGAGAGGCCACCAGAAACUAAAGAAGACCAGACUGCAAAAGCAAGGUUUAAUUACAAGCCAGCUCAGAACCCUCAUCUCCAACACUCCUUUGCAGCAAGAGAAAUCAGAAGAAUAUAUUAAAGAAGGCUACAAAGAUCUUGGCAGAAAUAUGAAGGAAUUUAUAUUCAAUAGAAAGCAAUUCAUAUCAAACAUUUUGGAAUCAUGGGACAACUGUAAGCUUCCAGAUGAUUCAAAUACACCUAAGGAAAAAAAUGAGUCUACACAGAUUUAUGUAACAGAGCAUUCAAUUGUGUCAUUUGAUAUUUGAAUAUCUCAUCUAUGCAAUCUUUGAGUAUCGCCAAUAUGGGAUGCAGCAUAAAUUUCUGGUAGAGCUGUUCUGGUGCUUUGUUUCACAAAGCCUGCCUUUUAUGUCCUAAAGUAGUUACUGUCUUUCUAUAUAUUAUUUUGAGGUUUUGAAUCUAAGUGCUAUGUUUUCUUUGCUUUCUUUUCCUGUAACAAAAAAAAAAUUCUAGGUUGGAGUUCAUUUUUGCUUACACUCCCUUGUCACAGUUCCAUCCCAAAAUGAAGCCAGAGCAGGAUCUCACGCCUUACAGGAAUCUAGAGGCAGGAACUGAAGCAGAGGUGUGGAGAAAUGCCGUUUACUGGUGUGCCCCCAUCCCUUAUUCAGCUACCUCCCCUUUUCAACAAUGGCCCACUUCUUUACGGGGACACCACCCAUAGAGAGCUGGGCCACUCUGUAUCAAGCAGUAAUCAAGAGAAUUCCCCCAAUAGCAUGCCUAAAUAUCAGUCUGGUAGAGCCAUAUUAUCCAUUAAUGCCCUUUCUUUUCACAUAGGCAUCCUUGCUCAUGUCAAGUUGAGAAAAACUAACCAGCACAGUUAUUGCUUGUCACUGUGACCUGCAAAUACAUGACUAUUAAUGUGUAACCUUACAUGUUUAUUUGUCCCUAAAUCCUCUUACGAUCACAAUACAGCCAGAUAGUGGUGAUAUGCACAUUUAAUCCCCGAAUUUGGGAGGCAGAGUCAGGUGAAUCUUUGAGUUCAAGGACAGCCAGGGCUACAAAACCAAAAACCAAAACAAAUAAAUAAGUAAAUAGAUUACAAAAAUAUAGAAAUUUUUUGUAGAUUUGCAUAAUCUAAUAUUAGAAAUCUCCCAGUGUUCAAAUUUCAUGCAGUUUAAAUGCUCAGGCUCUUUUACAAUUCAGUAUCUCUUUAAAAGACCAAUAGGUCUCUAUUUUCAGUUCCUGAAAAAUCUUAAGUUUGUACUUCUCUUUUUUAAAUAGGAAGAAGGAUGAACCAAUGCUGGCUUCUGUACAAGGCUUUUUCUUUUGGACCACCGAUCAGCUCCUAAAUCGUGACAUGGAGACUACUUAUUAGUGUUGAAAGCUUUACCUUAACUUAUGUUCAUUCCUAGCUAGCUUUUAUAUCUUAAAUUAACCUGUGUCUCUUCAUCUACAUUUUGCCUUCAAACUUUUUACCUUCUCUUUCUGUAUGUCCUAUUCCAUCUUACUGACUGGUAGCUACCUGGUUGCGUGACCCCGGGCAUCUGCCUUCCUUUCUCCCUCAUUCUCUCCUUUCUUCUUCUCUUCUUCAUUGAUAUUCUCUCUCCCCACCAGCCCUGCCUAUCCUGCUCAUGCCUAUCUAUUUGGCAUUCAACUUUUUAUUAGACCAAUCAGGUGCCAUGGCGAACAACAACACACCUUUUCCUAAUUAAACAAAUGCAGCAUAAACAAAUGUAACACAUCCUUACAUCAUUAACAAAGGUAGCAGAAACAAAGGAAUUACACAUUUACACAGUUAAAGUAAUAUUCUGCAGCACAAGCAAAUGUAACACAUCAUUGCAUAGUUAAAUAUUUCACAACAGACUUUGACUCAGAUCAAAGUAAAACCCCCACCUCUACAUUGUAAAUUAUGACCUCUAAUCCCAUAUCUGCAAUGCACUCACAAUGUUCUGAUUUCCUAUGUCUCUUGCAUGAUCCACCCUUUUGGUUUUGCCAUGCACAGAACACAUAAUUUGUCUGAUAGUCCCAAACUCACUCCACUCCUCAGUUGCUUCAGUCCUUAGAAAUGAAAGCCUUUCCGUGGUACUAUCCUCUCUACUAUGCCAUAGGCUCAACACAUUGCUCCUUCAAAAAUGGCCUAGCCUUUCUUCAACCAUCCUAACAUAUUGUGCCAAGUCUCAACUUCUCCAAAACCACUUCUAUCCGGAUAUUUCCAAUUCAACCAAACCUACACCUUCAGUACUGGCCUCCCAUGGCCUUUGAUGGUGUUAGUCUCAGUUUCUUUCCAAGACUCCUGCAAACCAGCAGCUCUUAUGAUGCCAACAGCACUAUUGGUGAGGAAAAAAGCUUACAAAUUGUAUUCUACAGCAAACUUGAGAUAUAAGCUUGGAAUACUCUGGACCACAUGUCUAUGCACUAACUGAAAUCCCUUAAUAUUUCUCUUAAAUGAUGCUGUUUUCUUGUUAAUCCCAGAUCAUUCUUUAAGACCAGAAGAAAAGAAAGCACAGAAUCUUUAUGUAAAAUAUCACAGAAACUGCCUCAGUAGAGUUUUGAUGUUGCCUCCAUCAUUCCUGGAAAUAUAUAAGCCAGACUUCCAUUUUUUCUUUAUUCCCAGCAUUCCUAUACUCAGGGUUCCAGGAAAAGUUCAUUAUCCUCUGAGCAUUUAAUGAUUUUUCCAGUUUAAUGUUCCAGGCAUUCUCCCAGUCCUCAUUAAAACUACAAUGAGCUCUGAUAGCAGUACCCUAUGAACCUGGUAGCAAAAUUCUAUUGUAGAGUCUUCUCUGUUCCUGUGAUAAACACCAUGACCAAAGUCAUAUUUUGGAGCAGUGAAGCUUAUUUUGUCUUACCCUUCAAUGUUACAGAUAGUCCAUCCAGGGAAGGCAGGGUUGGAGCUAAAAUUAGGCAGGAAACUAGAGAGCAGAACUGAACAGAAGAAUAUGGAGGACUACUGCUUACUAGCUUGCUCCUCAUGGGUUACUAAGGUACCUUUCAUAUAAACUCACACCCAUUUACUCAGGGACACAUUACUCACCAAAGAAUAAGCCCGCCCUUAUCGAUGAGGAAUGAGAAAAUGCUACCACAGCCUGGUUUCCAGGUCAAUCUCAUUGAGCCAUUUUCCCAAUUGAGGGUCCCUAUCCUAAGAUGACCCUAGCUUGUUUUGUGUUGAUAACUAACUAACCAAUACAGGGUGAGUAUUUAGAAUGUAAAAAUGCCAGUGUUUUACUACUUUUUGUGAUUGUUAUGAUUGUUUCUUAAUGCCAGGACCUUUGCCUUCAUGGUCACUCCUUUUACGUUUAUUAAUUAUUUUAUGUGUAUGUGUGCAUGUGUGCACCACCUUUGCAAAAAACAUGUGUGGGGGCCAGAAGAGGGCAGCAGAUCAUUCAUAUCAAGAAUAACAGGAACUUGUGAGGCCUCCACAGGAAUGUUGCCCAUCAAACUUUGGCCUGCUGGAAGAGCAAGAAUUGUUCUUAAUCCCUGAGCCAAUGUUACAGCUCCUUCAUAAUUCUUAUAGAAGUCAACACUCUACUCCAUUACACAUGCCAGGGUCUUUAUUGUAGUCCAUAUUGUCUCUAACAUUGGUGGCAUUCUUCUGUUGUUCCUGAGAUAGUAUAGUUGCAGUGCUUGACACAAGCCAGCCUCCAACAUUUCCUUUGUUCACAGUAAUGCUCUUUUCAACUUUUGCAGAACUCAAGUAGUUUAGAAAGACCAUAGAAACAAAUGUGAAAAUCAGUGUGAUGAAAUUGGAGAAACAAUCACAGAGAAUAUGGUAAAUGAAGACAUGCCUCCCUCAAUAAGAGUGCAUGAAAGCUGAUUGCAUGUAAGAAAUGUCAUUGUUCAUUCAUCAUUACAGGUGUACCUCAAAAAUAAACUUGGGGGAAACAAUCUGAAUAUAUAGGAGCUGUGGCAAAGACUUUUAUACAUCAGAAACUUUGGAAAGGUAUCAGUCAUUCUGAAUCAUUUUAAGUACUUGAAACUUCCCCUACAGAGAAACCAUGUAAAAAUCAUGAAGCCUGUAGGAGUCUUCUUUUUGGUCAGCCUCAGGAGAGAAAUCACACUGGAGAUAAACCUAAUGAGACUGUCUUAAGGAUAUACCCGUAAGGCCAGAAUGAUGAAGGAAUCCAUACAGAAGUAGAACCAUUUAUGUGUAAGCACUGUGAAGAAUGCUUCAUUGAAUCCAGUGGCCUUAGCAACCAUGAGAAAAGUCAUGUUAGAGAGAAAAGUUAUGUUCAUAAGCAAUGUGGGAAACAUUUAAAUAUUCUAAAUAUGUUGAAAAACAAAGUAACUCAUAGAGGAAAGAAAUUUGUGUGUGUAAGUGUUGUUUCAAACCAUCAUCAGUUCCACUUACUCUAACAUUAAUGAAAUAAUUCACACUGGAGAGAAGCCUUAUGCAUGCAAGCGUUGUGGAUAAACAUUUAUCAGAUACACUUCUCAAUACAUUAGCGAAAGAAUUCACAGUGGAAGGGAGGUUUAUUCCUGAAAGCAUUAUAGACAACUUACUGUUUCUACUCAUUGUAACAUUCAUGAAAUAACUCACACUGGAGAGAAACCCCAUGAAUUUACGGCAAAAACUUAGGCUCUUUGGAGGUCUUGUAACACAAGAAAACAGUAGAAUGCAUGUAAACAUUGUGGGAAAGACUUCACAAGUUCCACUUGCCACUGGAGGCAUAAAAAUAUUCACACUGGAGAGAAUCCCUUUAUAAAAUGUGAAAUGUGGAGGCCCAUGUUAGCUUCCGCACUUUUCUGUGGAUACCCAGGCCUAAUCCAGGAGCACGCUUUCCUGAACCAGGGCCAC